AGAGUUUGAUCCUGGCUCAGGAUUAACGCUAGCGGCAGGCCUAAUACAUGCAAGUCGAACGGCAGCACGGGUAGCAAUACCUGGUGGCGAGUGGCGCACGGGUGCGUAACACGUAUGCAAUCUACCUUUAACUGGGGAAUAACCCUUCGAAAGAAGGGCUAAUACCGCAUAAUACUUCGGGAGGGCAUCCCCCUGAAGUUAAACCUCCGGGAGUUAAAGAUGAGCAUGCGCUCGAUUAGCUAGUUGGUGAGGUAACGGCUCACCAAGGCAACGAUCGAUAGGGGGUCUGAGAGGAUGAUCCCCCACACUGGUACUGAGACACGGACCAGACUCCUACGGGAGGCAGCAGUAAGGAAUAUUGGACAAUGGGCGCAAGCCUGAUCCAGCCAUGCCGCGUGCAGGAUGACGGCGCUCAGCGUUGUAAACUGCUUUUGUUUGGGAAAAAACCCCUGCAUUCUGCGGGGCUGAUGGUACCAAAAGAAUAAGGGACGGCUAACUUCGUGCCAGCAGCCGCGGUA
rnacentral:rRNA from 1 species